rnacentral:rRNA from 1 species
UAGCUUUAAGAAAAUUAUUUAAGGUUUUACCUGCCCAGUGAAAAUUUUAACGGCCGCAGUACUUUGACUGUGCUAAGGUAGCAUAAUAAAUUGGCUUUUAAUUAAAGUCGGGUAUGAAAGGGAUCACGGAAAGUAACUGUCUCAAGUAUAUAUAAUUUUAAUUUAAUCAAUGGGUGAAAAUUCCCAUAGUAAUUUAUAUUAGACGAGAAGACCCUAAGAGUUAUAAUUAAGAUGAAUUUAUUUUCAUGUAUCAUUUUUGUUGGGGCAACAUAGACUGGAUUAAACCGUCAUAAAUUAAUUUUACAUAACAGUUAUAUUUAAAAAGAAAUAAACUACCUUAGGGAUAACAGCAUAAUUAAUUUUUAGAUUGUGACCUCGAUGUUGGAUUAAGGACUUUGUUUACUAGCCGUAAACCAAGAUAGUUCUGUUCGAACUGUAAUACCUU